GGAAGUAAAGUCGUAACAAGGUUUCCGUUGGUGAACCAGCGGAAGGAUCAUUACAGAGAUCGUGCCCUUCGGGGUAGACCUCCCACCCUGUGUUAUUUACGUAUGUUGCUUUGGCGGGCCGCCUCCGGGCUCUCGGCUUCGGCCGAGGUGUGCCCGCCAGAGAACCCACAACCCUGUGUUUAGUGUCGUCCGAGUAUUAUCAAAUAAGUUAAAACUUUCAACAACGGAUCUCUUGGUUCUG
rnacentral:misc_RNA from 1 species